rnacentral:rRNA from 1 species
GUCCACGCCCUAAACGAUGGGCACUAGGUGUGGGAGGUAUCGACCCCUCCCGUGCCGUAGCUAACGCAUUAAGUGCCCCGCCUGGGGAGUACGGUCGCAAGGCUAAAACUCAAAGGAAUUGACGGGGCCCGCACAAGCGGUGGAGCAUGUGGUUUAAUUCGACGCAACGCGAAGAACCUUACCUGGGCUUGACAUCCCCUGGAACCCCCUAUGAAAGUAGGGGGUGCCUUGAAAGAGGAGCCAGGAGACAGGUGCUGCAUGGCUGUCGU